CCUACGGGAGGCAGCAGUGGGGAAUAUUGGACAAUGGGCGCAAGCCUGAUCCAGCCAUGCCGCGUGAGUGAUGAAGGCCUUAGGGUUGUAAAGCUCUUUUACCCGGGAAGAUAAUGACGGUACCGGGAGAAUAAGCCCCGGCUAACUUCGUGCCAGCAGCCGCGGUAAUACGAAGGGGGCUAGCGUUGUUCGGAUUUACUGGGCGUAAAGCGCACGUAGGCGGAUCUUUAAGUCAGAGGUGAAAUCCCAAGGCUCAACCUUGGAACUGCCUUUGAUACUGGGGAUCUCGAGUCCGGGAGAGGUGAGUGGAACUGCGAGUGUAGAGGUGAAAUUCGUAGAUAUUCGCAAGAACACCAGUGGCGAAGGCGGCUCACUGGCCCGGAACUGACGCUGAGGUGCGAAAGCGUGGGGAGCAAACAGGAUUAGAUACCCCAGUAGUC
rnacentral:rRNA from 1 species